rnacentral:rRNA from 1 species
UACGAAGGGGGCUAGCGUUGUUCGGAUUUACUGGGCGUAAAGGGCGCGUAGGCGGUGCGAUAAGUCAGGCGUGAAAGCCCCGGGCUCAACCCGGGAAUAGCGCUUGAUACUGUUGCGCUUGAAUCCAGGAGAGGAUGGCGGAAUUCCCAGUGUAGAGGUGAAAUUCGUAGAUAUUGGGAAGAACACCAGUGGCGAAGGCGGCCAUUUGGCCUGGAAUUGACGCUGAGGCGCGAAAGCGUGGGGAGCAAACAGG